rnacentral:rRNA from 1 species
GACGAACGCUGGCGGCGUGCUUAACACAUGCAAGUCGAACGGAAAGGCCCUUCGGGGUACUCGAGUGGCGAACGGGUGAGUAACACGUGGGUGAUCUGCCCUGCACUUUGGGAUAAGCCUGGGAAACUGGGUCUAAUACCGAAUAGGACCACGCGCUUCAUGGUGUGUGGUGGAAAGCUUUUGCGGUGUGGGAUGGGCCCGCGGCCUAUCAGCUUGUUGGUGGGGUAAUGGCCUACCAAGGCGACGACGGGUAGCCGGCCUGAGAGGGUGACCGGCCACACUGGGACUGAGAUACGGCCCAGACUCCUACGGGAGGCAGCAGUGGGGAAUAUUGCACAAUGGGCGCAAGCCUGAUGCAGCGACGCCGCGUGAGGGAUGACGGCCUUCGGGUUGUAAAUCUCUUUCAAUAGGGACGAAGCGCAAGUGACGGUACCUAUAGAAGAAGCACCGGCCAACUACGUG